rnacentral:rRNA from 1 species
GUAGGCAGCAAGCGUUGUUCGGAGUUACUGGGCGUAAAGGGUGUGUAGGCGGUUCUUUAAGUUUGGUGUGAAAUCUCCCGGCUCAACCGGGAGGGUGCGCCGAAUACUGAGGGACUAGAGUGCGGGAGAGGAAAGUGGAAUUCCUGGUGUAGCGGUGAAAUGCGUAGAUAUCAGGAGGAACACCGGUGGUGUAGACGGCUUUCUGGACCGUAACUGACGCUGAGACACGAAAGCGUGGGUAGCAAACAGGAUUAGAUACCCUGGUAGUCCACGCCCUAAACGAUGCAUAUUUGGUGUGGGUCAUUCAGUUGAUCCGUGCCGGAGCUAACGCGUUAAAUAUGCCGCCUGGGGAGUACAGUCGCAAGGCUG